GUAUCCUCCAUCAGGUGACUGCUGCUCUGGCUGUGGCUGAACAGGAGCUCUGCUUUGAACACAGAGACCUCCACUGGGGUAAUGUGUUGGUCAGUCCACUAAGGAGAAGAAGGGGAGUUUCCUCCUCAAUGGAACAAACCAUUCCUUUGAGACCAGGGGGGUGAGCGUACGCAUCAACUACUCCCUCUCCAGGCUCGAGAUCGAUGGUCUCACCGUGUCCUGUGACAUCUCAGAGGAUGAGGAGUUGUUCCAGGGCCAUGGAGACCUGCAGUUUGACAUCUACAGACUCAUGAGACAG